UGAACGCUGGCGGCGUGCCUAACACAUGCAAGUCGAACGGACUUACAUUGAAGCCUAGCGAUAUGUAAGUUAGUGGCGGACGGGUGAGUAACGCGUGGGUAACCUGCCUUGUACUGGGGGACAACAGUUGGAAACGACUGCUAAUACCGCAUAAGCGCACAGCUUCGCAUGAAGCAGUGUGAAAAACUCCGGUGGUACAAGAUGGACCCGCGUCUGAUUAGCUGGUUGGUGAGGUAACGGCCCACCAAGGCGACGAUCAGUAGCCGGCCUGAGAGGGUGAACGGCCACAUUGGGACUGAGACACGGCCCAAACUCCUACGGGAGGCAGCAGUGGGGAAUAUUGCACAAUGGGGGAAACCCUGAUGCAGCAACGCCGCGUGAGUGAAGAAGUAUUUCGGUAUGUAAAGCUCUAUCAGCAGGAAAGAAAAUGACGGUACCUGACUAAGAAGCCCCGGCUAACUACGUGCCAGCAGCCGCGGUAAUACGUAGGGGGCAAGCGUUAUCCGGAUUUACUGGGUGUAAAGGGAGCGUAGACGGUUUUGCAAGUCUGAAGUGAAAGCCCGGGGCUUAACCCCGGGACUGCUUUGGAAACUGUAGGACUAGAGUGCAGGAGAGGUAAGUGGAAUUCCUAGUGUAGCGGUGAAAUGCGUAGAUAUUAGGAGGAACACCAGUGGCGAAGGCGGCUUACUGGACUGUAACUGACGUUGAGGCUCGAAAGCGUGGGGAGCAAACAGGAUUAGAUACCCUGGUAGUCCACGCCGUAAACGAUGAUUACUAGGUGUUGGUGGGUAUGACCCAUCGGUGCCGCAGCAAACGCAAUAAGUAAUCCACCUG
rnacentral:rRNA from 1 species